rfam:Gossypium arboreum cultivar AKA8401 contig_8823_3, whole genome shotgun sequence.
AAUCCCUUCAGGAAUAUCCAAUGAAAUUGAUACAAUAUAUAGACGAUUAGCCUGGUCUUUACACAAUGAUGAUACAUACAAAUCGAGAAAUGAUAAAAUUAUUU